rnacentral:rRNA from 1 species
UACGUAGGGGGCUAGCGUUGUCCGGAAUCAUUGGGCGUAAAGCGCGUGUAGGCGGUCCGGUAAGUCCGCUGUGAAAGUCGGGGGCUCAACCCUCGGAUGCCGGUGGAUACUGUCGGGCUUGAGUACGGAAGAGGCGAGUGGAAUUCCUGGUGUAGCGGUGAAAUGCGCAGAUAUCAGGAGGAACACCAGUGGCGAAGGCAGGCUCGCUGGGACGAGCUGACGCUGAGACGACGAAGCGUGGGGAGCAACGG